GACAGAGGAGCCAAGCGUUGUCCGGAUUGACUGGGCGUAAAGCGCACGCAGGCGGUCCCGCGCGUGGGGUGUGAAAACUGGCGGCUUAACUGCCAGAGGCCAUCCCAUACGGCGCAACUCGAGCCAUGCAGAGGUCCACGGAAUUGCCGGUGUAGUGGUGAAAUGCGUAGAGAUCGGCAGGAACACCCAGGGGGAAACCAGUGGACUGGGCAUGUGCUGACGCUCAGGUGCGAAAGCGUGGGGAGCGAACCGG
rnacentral:rRNA from 1 species